CAACAUGACGUAGUGGACAUAUCAGGCCUGUAGACCGUUAGACCUCUUUAAAGGUAGUCAGCAACAUGACGUAGUUGACAUAUCAGGCCUGUAGACCGUUAGACCUCUUUAAAGGUAGUCAGCAACAUGACGUAGUUGACAUAUCAGGCCUGUAGACCGUUAGACCUCUUUAAAGGUAGUCAGCAACAUGACGUAGUUGACAUAUCAGGCCUGUAGACCGUUAGACCUCUUUAAAGGUAGUCAGCAACACGAGUUAGAUGUAGAAAGUAAACAGUAUAGUGGGUAAAUGCAGAAAUCCCUCCGCCAUUUCCUGGUCGCUAAAAUUCUAAUAGUUUGCCUAAAUUCAGUUUGUGACAAAACAAGCAAGUAUAGUGUAGAGUCAUUGUACCAUCUAAACAGCUGUAAAAUAUAUUUUCCAUAACCAAAGAGCUGUUUGAAGCUGGUGUACAGAACCAAAAGUAAAAUACGCAAAAACAAAAGUUAAGCACAGGAAGCAUAUAGAACAGAUCUACCGUUUUUUAGACUUGCUUUCAAUGAGAAUGACAUAUCUUUAACUCAUAUUUCUAUGUUAAUUUAGUGGACUUAUCCAAAAAGUGCCAUAUUGCAGCUUUACAGGUAGACUCAGUGAAAUGAUGUAGAUGCAGAACGUAAACGGCAUAAUGGGUACAUUUCUGCAGUGACUGCGCCUGGCAACGUCAUUUAACUGAGUACCUUUUAAAACAGGGAGGUGUUUGACACAUAAACAGCGAUAAGCAGCUGAUACUGACUCAGCAUGUUGGUGUGUGACUGUCCUGGAAUGGGGAAGUGAGAGUGAAAGGGUUUCCCAACACGUCAUGUCAGUCAGUCAGUCUACUGAAAGCACCCGGUCAGAGCUCCUAGUCUGUGUGUUCUCUGUACUCUCCUCUCCUAGUGAUAUACAACUGUUCACUGUCUUUAUCCGUUUAACUCUCAUUGUCAUUCAAAUGUACAGGUAACUGUCAAAAUAAAACAAACACCUGAGAAAAUGAGGGAUACAAAGUCAAUUGAAAGCAGGUGCUUCCACACAGGUGUGGUUCCUGAGUUAAUUAAGCAAUUAACAUCCCAUCAUGCUUAGGGUCAUGUAUAAAAAUGCUGGGCGGGACAUUAUUUUGGCUACCAUGGCUAUGACCCAUAGGAUGACAAUGCCCCCAUCCACAGAGCACGAGUGGUCACUGAAUGGUUUGGUCACUGAAUGGUUUGGUCACUGAAUGGUUUGGUCACUGAAUGGUUUGGUCACUGAAUGGUUUGGUCACUGAAUGGUUUGAUGAGCAUGAUAACGAUGUAAACCAUAGUCCAUGGCCGUCUCAGUCUCCAGAUCUCAACCCAGUUGAACACUAAUGAGAGAUUCUGGAGCAGCACCAGAGACAGUGUUUUUCAUUACCAUCAAUAAAACAUAACAUUUUGGAAUUGUACAUAAACAAACUUUCAAUAUUAAAUCAAGUCAUGUAUUGAAAAAGUGUAAAAUGGGGAAGCACCUUUUUGAGGUAAAAACUGUAAACAUUAUGUUGUGGAAGAAGUGAGUGGUGUUUGCUGUUUUACUG
rnacentral:lncRNA from 13 species